UCAACUUAUAUUGACAACAUCAUAGUGGCACAGUCAGACAAACUCUCCUGGGAAAGUUUACAUGGCAGUCACAAAGAAGACAUGCUGUUCACACUUUUUGAUCUGGCAAGAAACUCUCCUACAAAGGAAAUACAGCAUCAUACAAAGAUUCAAGAAUAAUUAAAUGCUUUGAUUUGAAGUCAAUGGAGCUAUGCCAAUUUACACCAGCUGAGGAUCCGACCCAUUAAGCUUAUAUUAUUUUAUAAAAUUCCUACUAUAUUUCAACUGUCUGAGAUCUACUCAGUAAUAUACUGCUAUAAGGAUAGUAAAGAUACACAGGCAGUCUAGGGAUCAGCAGUUCUCACUGAAGCAAAGAAAGGAAACUUUAGCUCUUUCAUUAUGCAAACAUAAAUCCACAAGAAGAAGCUACAGCAUCUUCAUUCUGUUUAUAAUUAAUAUUGUACCUCAAGCAGUCACCUGUGGAAAAGAGAGGUAUGAAAGGAUUUCAACUUACUUUGAUAUUUAAGGUAUUUAAUGUCCUUUAAACAUAAAGUUUAAACAGGAGGAAAUUCAUAAUCUGCAAGAAUGUUCUUAGUUCAACAAAGUCUUUGAGUUGACAGCUAAUAAUUAAUUAACAAUGAACGGUGUCUUUCAGCCUGGCAUGAUGAUUGGCACUAUCAUCUUCUGAAAAUGAGAGAUUUUAAGGUGGCAGACUACCGUCAGGGAAACAUUAAAGCUUCACAAUUCCCACUCCUUUCAGCUAAACGCUUGACGUGACAGGUUAGAUCACUUGAAAAAGAAGA